UUUAGCCGCGUGCGAGAUGAAGAUUAUCAAUAAAAUUAUUUUGCCGGGAUCUGUUAUUAUUUUGGACUGUUGCAAGAUGUAUAAAUGUCUUAUUGAUUAGGGAUUCAUAUUUUUUCAUGUAAAUCACAAUCUCGUUUUUAAGGAUUCCGAGACAAACUCUAUCGAGUGCACAUUUAAUGUCAUUAAAAAAAAAUGUUUCAAGGAUACUCAGCUGGAGAUGAAUUUGACAUGUGGAGGAGAAAAUAUGCAUAUUUUUCAUCAAGCGAUCGUUUUGCCGAAUUUUAACAAGCGAUUAAGAUUGUUUAUCCUCGCAGUCAUCAGAUGUGUAACUGGAUAAAAUUCAAUUGCCUUGAAGAUAUCACUUGGGAUAGUAAGGAAUUUGCAGCUAAUAGGCAGAAUAUGUUUGUCUCUUUUGGGAUGAUAUGUUUUUAAUGGAAAUGUGCAAAUACACAAAGAUGAAGUUUCGUAAAGAAACAGAUAAUGUUUUCAAUAUUUGUUUAAAUGACAUGAAAGCAUAUAUACCAGCAACCCACAGCCAACUCUAUAAUGGCCUUGAAGUGCAAAAGUCACGUGAUCAAGAUGGUCGAUGUAUUUUUGUGGUAGUGUGUGGUUGUGAACUCGUGGUCGUGGAUUUUUUGGAUGUAUAUUUUGCUAUUAAGUGAUUUUAAAUCACUUAUGCUAAGCUUUUGUUCCAGUGUAAAGACUGCAGUUCAUGAGCCCAUUUGUUGCUAUGCAUCACCACUUGUUGCUGGGGAAGUGAAGAUAUGUAUUAAUCAUUUUGACAUUUCCUGUGAUGAAGAUAUUAACAUCAAGAUGAUCAGAAUGCUAUGGAAACUCCAAAAAGUGUCAAAAGAAACAAACCCUUAGACACAGGUCAAGAUUUUUAAGGAGAAAGAAGCUCCCACCCAGAUGUCAAAGGCUUAUUCUUCAGAAAGUACAAUGAAUUUAUGAGAGUGGGUAAAUUUUUCUUUCCAAUACUAGUGUCUUCCGCAGAAAAGAGCACCUGCAGACUUUUUGGAACCAUGUGACCAAUGAUUGGGGGAUGAAACUUGUCACUUGUUACUUUUUUUCUCAGCUAAUCAUCCGAUUUGGCGGAAAUUUGUUCCCCCUAUCAUAUUUUGCUUGACAGCUAGAAGUAUAUUGAGAGGAGAUUGUGGUCAGAAAAUGGACUCUUCUGUAUCUCCCCUUACCUACAGGUCAUCCGUUAAGAUUUUCUCUAUAUUCUUUUACUGUUUAUAGCAUUCUGUAGUUUCAUUAAUGAUGCUUUAUCAAAAAGAAUGGUCUUCAUUUCUAUCAUCCUUUGAAGUAGUACAUUAUAUUCAGAGCUUAAAUUAAACUGGAGACUAGUUGUGCUAUUUCUUACUUUUUGUGUGAAAUUGCAAUUCCAGCCGAAAACCCCCAAACCUUCCAUAGGGCUCUGGUACUUCUAAUUUUAGAAAUUAAGCGCUGCUUGUGGUUGUAGUUAUGGUGACGUGGCAUAGGAUACUGGUACUAGGGAUAAUGAUGCUGGUAGUGCGGCCAACUACUGUAGUGACCGACUGUGACACUGAAUAAGGAAUGCUAAGCAUAGAAACAUGUUCCUUUUGACUGAUGGUAAAAAUUUUAUCGCAGUGUAUAAUUUCUUGCUACUGGAUACUGCUACCAAAUCUUAUCAUUAUGUUUCUGGAUAGGAAAGUCAACCAUUUCCACAUUUAUUCCGUAGGUGUGCAGAGUAAUUGUAGAUGUUUUACAUGGAAAAAUACGUAAAAUUUUCUCAAUCAGUAAAAGAGGGGGAAGCCAUUGCAUCUGGCUUUGAAGAUAAAUGGCAGUUUCCAAAUUUGUGUAGGAGCUGGUGAUGGCCGACCGUUUCUUUCUUGACGCCAUGCUUGGCCAUGGUUCACCCAUUCCUGCCAGCCUUGUCUAACAGUGGCAUCACUUAAAUCCAAAUACAGUACAAAGUCCAAAAUCCGGAUUCAUCGGGACUACGGCGAUUACGGAUUUGAGAUUUUUCCGAAUAAUAGAUCAUCAAUUUAAAUCUGUUGAAAAACCAAUGGAAGCAGACAGUAAAGCAGUUGCGGAAUGAGAAAAAGAAUUACACAAAUUUGAAGAACGAAAGAAAAUAAAGAUGUGGUUCCAAGAGAUUUUCAACAAAUUAAGAGCAUGAAGAAGGCUAAUUCAUUACUAGUUCAUUUGCAUAUAUAUCAUAUGUAUGCUAUAAAGGAUUCUUAAUGCUACUUAUUUCAUGGGAAUAAUGUUUCUUUCCUCACUCAAAUAAUCCUUUGAUGUAGGAAUAUGAAAAAAGAGAUGUCAGAAAUCCUACAUAUGACAGUUUGAAGCUUUAAAACCUUUAGUUUCAUUUAAAAAUGUUAUGUAAAAUACAUAUUUUUAUUCUUAUUAUAAUUUUGCUGUAAAUUUUUUUUACAAAUAAAAAAUUUCUGUUAUGAAAUGGACAUAAUUUUGUAACAGUUUAUAUUUACUAUAAUUUGGUAACAAAUUUUGCAUAUAAACUAAUAAUGGGCAAACAACUAAAUCGGUUUCUAGAAUAGAGUAACUAAAUUCCUGGUUUUAUACUGGCUGUGAAACUGUUUCUGCAUAAAGGAUGAAAUUAUUGUGUGUAACUAGAAAUAUUUCAUUGAAAGCUUCCACAUGAUUAAAAAUGGUUUAAAAAAAUAUAACCAUAUACAGAUUUUAUGUUUUUUAUGGUUAUUUUAUUGUGGAUAUUUUCCAUAGUAUAGGAUUUUGGAGAUAUCAUCCCUGGGCAUAGAGGAAUCAUGGAUCAAUUUGAUUGUCAGUUCCUAAUGGCCACAUUUGUAAAUGUGUAUAUAUCCAGUUUUAUAAGUUUUCACUAAAGAACAUAAUGCUCAACAAUGCAAUUUUUUAGAGCUCAGUUCAUUGAUGGCGUAUCAUCAGUUACACAAAUUGUUCUUAGACAAAAAUGAAGCAAGUAUGUGUAUUGUAAAUCAUAUACAAUUUUUCAUAUUUCUUUACUUGGUGUAUUUUAGCCUGUAUUUUAUCAGAAACAUUUUUUGGGGGCUAAAACUGUUUGUCAUACUUUUAAAAGUACAAUUGUAUUAAAUAAAAAUUUUUGA
rnacentral:lncRNA from 1 species